AGCAGCCGCGGUAAUUCCAGCUCCAAUAGCGUAUAUUAAAGUUGUUGCAGUUAAAAAGCUCGUAGUUGAAUUUCGGGAUUGACACAUCGGUCGUGCCUUAAGGGGUAUGAACUGGUGUAGUCAAUUUCUCACCUUCUGGAGAACCGCGAUGCCCUUAAUUGGGUGUCGCGGGGAACCAGGACCUUUACUUUGAAAAAUUAGAGUGUUUAAAGCAGGCAUUUUGCUUGAAUACAUUAGCAUGGAAUAAUAAAAUAGGACGGCAUGAUUCUAUUUUGUUGGUUUCUAGGAUCACCGUAAUGAUUAAUAGGGAUAGUUGGGGGCAUUAGUAUUCAAUUGUCAGAGGUGAAAUUCUUGGAUUUAUUGAAGACUAACUACUGCGAAAGCAUUUGCCAAGGAUGUUUUCAUUAAUCAAGAACGAAAGUUAGGGGAUCGAAGACGAUCAGAUACCGUCGUAGUCUUAACCAUAAACUAUGCCGACUAGGAAUCAGACGAUGUUAAUUUUUAAU
rnacentral:misc_RNA from 1 species